rnacentral:lncRNA from 1 species
GGUUUUCAGUGCCUUCAGUGCAGGGUCAUGAUAAAACAUGCAGUUUAAACAUAUAUGACUUAUUUUGAGGAGUUUAAAUCUUCAUUACGAUGGUCAAACUUCCUUAUAAGUCACACUCUUGAUUGAGGUCCUGCUAACUACUGUUUUAUUUGCAUUUGUUUUCAGGGUACAUUACACUGUCUCCCUCAUCAACCCUCAGUGGGUCAAAUUAAGGCCCCUGUCCAGUGUGUGGAAAACCCUAAAGGAUUGGGUGGAGUCAUAAUAUAUGACCAGAGGACGUUCACCAUGAACAAACAACACUUGGUGGCAGUUCUUCUCUCUAGAGGUGAAAAAAUCUAUCAGACCAGUUCUGUUGUAAUGGCAAGUGAAGACAAGAAAGAGAAAUGCCUCCCAAGACCUUAACAUCACACCCUUUAUACUUAGAAUAAAGGCAUUUUACCAUCAUUUCGUCUUCGUGUCUUUCA